UACGACGUUGGCAAGCGUUGUUCGGAUUUACUGGGCGUACAGGGAGCGUAGGCGGUUGGAUAAGCCCUCCGUGAAAUCUCCAGGCUUAACCUGGAAAGUGCAGAGGGGACUGUUCAGCUAGAGGAUGGGAGAGGAGCGCGGAAUUCCCGGUGUAGCGGUGAAAUGCGUAGAGAUCGGGAGGAAGGCCGGUGGCGAAGGCGGCGCUCUGGAACAUUUCUGACGCUGAGGCUCGAAAGCGUGGGGAGCAAACAGG
rnacentral:rRNA from 1 species